UCGAGAAUCUUCGGCAAUGGGCGCAAGCCUGACCGAGCGACGCCGCGUGGAGGACGAAGGCCUUCGGGUUGUAAACUCCUGUCGAGGGGGAGGAAGGCACGGCAACGUGCUUGACCGAUCCCUGGAGGAAGCACGGGCUAAGUUCGUGCCAGCAGCCGCGGUAAGACGAACCGUGCGAACGUUAUUCGGAAUCACUGGGCUUAAAGCGCGUGUAGGCGGGCCGGCACGUCCGUGGCUGAAAGCCCCCGGCUCAACCGGGGAAGUGGCGCGGAUACGGCCGGCCUGGAGGGGGGUAGGGGGACCUGGAACUUCCGGUGGAGCGGUGAAAUGCGUUGAGAUCGGAAGGAACGCCCGUGGCGAAAGCGAGGUCCUGGACCCUUUCUGACGCUGAGACGCGAAAGCCAGGGGAGCGAACG
rnacentral:rRNA from 1 species